rnacentral:rRNA from 1 species
CACGUAGUUAGCCGACCCUUAUUCAUGAGUUACCGUCAUAUUCUUCACUCAUAAAAGCAGUUUACGACCCGAAGGCCUUCAUCCUGCACGCGGAGUUGCUCCAUCAGACUUUCGUCCAUUGUGGAAGAUUCCUCACUGCUGCCUCCCGUAGGAGUCUGGACCGUGUCUCAGUUCCAGUCUGACUGAUCAUCCUCUCAAACCAGUUAACGAUCGUAGACUUGGUGAGCCUUUACCUCACCAACUAUCUAAUCGUACGCAGGCCAUUCCCAAAGCGGAUAAAUCCUUUAAUCCGAAGAUCAUAUGCGGUAUUAGACACCGUUUCCGAUGCUUAUCCCUCUACUUUGGGUAUGUUCCCACGCGUUACUCAGCCGUCCGCCGCUCGCCGCCAAAGAAUAAAUUCUUACGCGCUGCCGCUCGACUUGCAUGUGUUAGGCACUCCGCCAGCCGUUCACUCCUGACGCCGAGGAUACAAAACGUCU